GUGAAUGGCAGCGAUGCAUCCUUUGUGAGCUGAGGCUUUUAAGAAGCUGGUGAGGCUUCCUAUGCUUUCUUUCUGCUUCUGCUGGCUAGAAACAAAGGACACUGAGGCCCUCGGGGGAUGGUAGAGCCACAGGAAGCACCCCGGGUCCUUAAAUCAACAUGCGGAGGAAAGCCAACGGCCAGCCAUGGAUACUUGCAUUGGACUUUUAAGUGAAUGAGAGGGACACCUGCGGCUCCAGGUCAGAGAUGCACCUGCUAGUCCUGCCUCUACAGGACCCAACCCAUCAGUUCCUAGCUUGUCCUUCUGGUGAGAAUUGAGCACACUAUACUGUGGACAUAAAGACAAGUCAAGGGAACUAGUCAGCCCUGGCUGUUGGAGAACAGUCCUUGGGAUACUCACCAGGGUCUCCACCAUGUUGGAUUUGUUGUUACGCAGUGUUUUCACGAUGUGGAACACGUCAAUGAUGUUUUGCUGCUGGAUCAUCUCACACACACUGCAGAUGGCACAGAAGGUUCCACUACGGCCUCCCCCAUUUCUAAACACAGAGCAAAGAGAAACCAGCAAGAAACUGAGCUCGGCUCCCUGGCUCACAUAGACAUGGAACAGAGAUCACAUCUGUGAGUGGAGGAGCCAGACUUUUCAUAUAAGCACAUGUAAAACUUUUGAAGUUGGCUGAUCCAAGAAUAGAUUCAAAUUCUUCAGCCAAGAGUCUAGACCAACUGACUUUUUCCACUUCAUUGCCUAGUUGACCCUUUGGGCCCGGAGCUCACGCACGCAGUUGAAGAUGUCCACCACCCCUUCAUUCUCGGCCAUGUCAAGCAUGGUGUCAAUGGCAAUGAAGCAGCCAGUCCGCCCAGCCCCAGCACUGGAAGAGAGCAAAUGGGUUGACGGAUGGAAGCAAAGAAGGAGAGGAGAGAGAACAGAGGGGAGAUGAAUGACAGGACAGAAACGAGAGUCCUCUGAGCUGUCCCCAAGACAGAGAGUGGUUGGUGGAGCACCACGUUCAAAGGCCGGCAUCUGGCUCCACCUGCAGCUGUUUUCGCAGGAUCGUGAAGCAAGAGUGUCAUGAAACUGGAGCAGCUGACCGUCCGGAGACCCUUGUCAGGGAUCAAGUUUCUUGAUACAUACUUACUUGAUUUCUGGUCACUAGUGGCUUCUUUAGGAGAAUCUCAGACCAAGUAUAAAAUGGUAGGGGAACUCAACGAGACUCUAUGGGCCUUGGCCAGCCCUUUCUAGAUCAGUGCUGGGCUCUGAAACAUCAGUGCUGACCAAGAGGCACGUAAGACAUGUGCCUUACACAUGUGCAGUUUUGGAUGGGAAGGCCGGGCAGCCUGUCAAGGAGGCCCCCUUCCGCUGCGUUUUCACAUCUUGCCUUUCUCAUGGAAACAAGUGUCUUUGUCUAACAAUGUAGAUGUCAAAAGACACACAAAGAGGAAGAGAGAUGGAACAAGACAAAAAAGCAAUAUUGGCUCAUGGUAAAUCCAAGGGGCACAGGCCAGUGCGGACCACUACCUACAACAAUUUGGAAAGUACACCCAUUGGAAGCAGAGUCUUCAUUCAUGAGAAACUUUCAUGGUUUGAAUGAAGUCUGACUUAAGUUUGCUUCAGAACCUACUCCCCAAAAUCCAGAUGCGGGGACUCAAGAGACUUGGCCUCUGUGUCUGGGAGGGAGUAUAGGGGGGGUCACUCGUGUUUUUUUCUUCAAUGUUCAUAUUCACCAUGCUUUAGUAUAAAGAAUCAGCCCAAUUUGGUUCCAAAUUUUGGAACAACUAUCAAUCAAUCAGCGGUGACCAAGUUGCCUAGUGUCCGUUUGUUUGUUAGCUUCAGAUUUCUGAUGCUUUUAACAUACCUCCCUGCAGGGUCCUUGUGAGGACAAAGCUGUGUUUAUUUCAUUUCAGCAUCACAUAGUAAUUGAACACAGGAUAUUUGAAAAGACCCCCUAGGAUUAAAUCCUGGCUCUAUUACUUAUUAGCUGCAUGACCUCGGGCAAAUGACUUAACCUCUCUGGGUUUCAAUACUCAUCUAUAAAAUGAUGUUGAUAAUAAUUAAAAUACUCACUCAUCUAUAAAAUGAUGUUGAUAAUAAUUAAUAGAUCCACCUCACAGCAUUAAUAGCACAAUAUGUAUAAAUUGGAUGAAAUUACAAUUAAAAUGCAUAAUGCAUACAAAUUGCUUUGUGCCUGGAUACAUAGCCAUUUUUUAUUGAGAAAUUAUUACUAUUAUAUUCAACAAAUAUUUAUUGAAAAUCUAAGAUGCAGUAGAUGCUGGUAUUAGGAGUGGGAAUAUGAAAACAAACAAACAUUGUUCCUGUCCUGAAGGAUUAAUAAAUAAUCUGGGGAGGGGGAGAAAGAAAACAUUAAGAGGAGGCAGAGAAUAAUGAUAUAUUAGAGUGCUUACUAUAUGUCAGGCAUUCUCUCUUAGGCACUUAGCCAACCCAUUUGGUAAUAAUUUUCAGAAUGGCCCCAGGAGUGGGUACCACUCUGCUCAGAUGCAUUAAGAUGACCUGCUAAGGAGACACAUACCGGCGUAGAGCCAUCAUGCGCCGAAGUCCUGAUGAUAAACAAACAUUUGCCAUUGUCUUUCUUUCUUUCUCCCUAACCCUUGAUCUGGGUGCUCUUUGGGAUAUAGAGAUGGGGGGCAUUAAUGAUCCAUUGCCCUUUGAUUGCUAUGAGAUAUAAAGCAAAGCAGAAAAUACAUGCAAAACAUUUAGAGAGUCCAGGAUUACCUCCUCAUCCUCACUUGCCUUAUCUGUGAAAUGGGGUUGUGUAGCUACUAUUGCUGGGAAG
rnacentral:lncRNA from 1 species